CGUCUACGAGUUUGAUCCUGGCUCAGAACGAACGCUGGCGGCAUGCCUAACACAUGCAAGUCGAACGAAGGCUUCGGCCUUAGUGGCGCACGGGUGCGUAACGCGUGGGAACCUGCCCCUCGGUUCGGAAUAACAGUUAGAAAUGACUGCUAAUACCGGAUGAUGACUUCGGUCCAAAGAUUUAUCGCCGAGGGAUGGGCCCGCGUAGGGUUAGCUAGUUGGUGGGGUAAAGGCCUACCAAGGCGACGAUCCUUAGCUGGUCUGAGAGGAUGAUCAGCCACACUGGGACUGAGACACGGCCCAGACUCCUACGGGAGGCAGCAGUGGGGAAUAUUGGACAAUGGGCGAAAGCCUGAUCCAGCAAUGCCGCGUGAGUGAUGAAGGCCUUAGGGUUGUAAAGCUCUUUACCAGGGAUGAUAAUGACAGUACCUGGAGAAUAAGCUCCGGCUAACUCCGUG
rnacentral:rRNA from 1 species